rnacentral:misc_RNA from 1 species
UUUUUUUUUUUUUUAUCUCUAUAAACCAAAAAAGAAAAGAACUCAUCCUAUCAUACUACUGAUGUGACCUAUGGCGAACAUGUUUAUGGAUAUUAAUUAUACUGAGACGUAGGCCAGAGUUUCCUGUGAUGUGUACCGUGUCCUCAUUUCCUUCCAUCAUUACCAGCAUUAUAUGGCUAUUAUUCAGUCCAAACUUGCCCACUACUACUGUUGCUAAGAGUUAUUGCUUAUGUACAAUAAUUGCCCACUUUCUAUUAUGUUUUCUAAUGAAGUACUUAGAGAGUUUUUGUGGACAGAAGUGGAGCAUAAUAGCACAAGUCCUGAGUUUAUUGCAGUAAUGCAUUUGAAUUCUUUAAGUUUAUUCAAAUCUCAUCCUAAAGAUUCAAGUCAUUUUAUAUUAUGCAUUCGGUCACUUACUUCAUGUUAUCCAUUUAGAUGGAACUGGUUUAAUUUAUUCUCUGUUGUCUCUUAUUGCAAUAAUAAUACACUUCCUAAUUUACAAGGAAUGAAAUUGAAUGCAUGAAGGUAUAUUGAUCUCUUUCAAUUUCCAUUUCCACUGCUACAUAAUAUUUGUGUUAAAACCUAACCUUCUCAGCAUGUACAUUACAGGGUAUUAUGUUAUGGUCUACAU